UUUUUUCAAAAAUUUUAAGGCCAUACUCACAGCAUAUGAAGGUUCCCAGGCUAGGGGUCGAAUCAGAGCAGUAGCCGCCAGCAUAGCCACAGCCACAGAAGUGCCAGAUCUGAGCCGCGUCUGCAACCUACACCACAGCUCACAUUAACACCGGAUCCUUAACCCACUGAGCGAGGCCCAGGAGCAAACCUGUGUCCUCAUGCAUGCUAGUCAGAUUUAUUUCUGCUGAGCCACAAAGGGAAUUCCUAGAAGGUUGGAACUUUCAGUCCUACCACUUAGACGUCCAGAGAGGAGGAGGGCUGAAAACAGAACUUAACCAAGUGGAUAAUGAUAAAAUUCCAAUGAAUCUCUAGAAACCCAGAGCCCAAGGAGCUUCCUAGUUGGUGAACACUUUGAUGUGCCAGGAAAGAGAAAUGUCCUAAGUCCAAGGGGAGAGACCAAAGAAGCUCCUUAUCCAGGAUCCUAUAUAUCCUAUAUAUCCUAUAUAUCUUUUUCAUUUGGCUGUUCCUGAGUUUUAUCCUUUAUAAUAAAGCUAACUGUACAUAUAUCACUUUCAGGGAGUUCUGGAAGUUAUUCUCGCAAAUUAACAAACCUGAGAUGGUCAUAAGAACCCUUGAACUUAGCUGAGGAAUGAGCUGUCCUAAGACUUACUAAAGGGAAGGCAGUCUUCAGGAAAACACUGCCCUCAACUUGUGGGGUCUGGCAUUAACUUAGGGUCGUUAGCAUCAGAAUUGAAUUGAAUUGCAUGAUGGCCAGGUGGUGUCAGAGAGUUGCUAUAUCAAUUGAACAGUAACAAUCUCUCAUUGUUAACCUAUCAACUAAAUUAACUUUUUUCCAACAUGGUAUAUUUUCAUUAAGAAAAAAAAAAUCAGGAGUUCCUGUUGAGGCUCAGUGGUUAAUGAAUCAGAUUAAGAACCAUGAGCCACAACGUGAACUCCUAGAUUUCAACAUUUUUAACCUCAAUGUAGGAAAAUGCAUCAAAGAGGUUAAGCAAUUCCUUCAAUUUCUAAUAAAGGAGAAAAAUAGUAUUAUCUGAAUCAAAUUAUGCCCAGAGAGCACAAUCAAAUCUGUUUUUAAAUUUUGUCAAAUGGAAAAACCUGUUACUUAAAAAUUACAUUCCAGUUUUCUAAUUAAAUUCAUGUGAAACCACAGAACAAAACUUUAAUUUCUUUGGACUUCUUUCUUAAAGAAUGGUUCCUUGAAAUUCAAUUUCCGAAUUAACGUAUAAGGAAUGACACCCAAAUUUUAAAAUUAACAUGCUUUUCUCAGUUAACUUUUUGCAACAGUUUGAGGUGGAAUAAAGGAAAAAAAAAGCCAAUAAAUCAAAAAUUUUGUUAAAAAUACUUUACAAAUAAGCUUAUGUCACUCUUUGAUAGAAUCUAAAAGGCUCCCCCAAAUUUUUUACGUACCCCAAACAGAAAUCAUAUUUAAACUCAGUCUAUUCAAACAGGCCCACCUCUUCCCUUAAGCAAGGUCUAAAUGUGAUC
rnacentral:lncRNA from 1 species